CCUACGGGAGGCAGCAGUAGGGAAUUUUGCGCAAUGGGGGAAACCCUGACGCAGCAACGCCGCGUGAUCGAUGAAGCCCUUCGGGGUGUAAAGAUCUGUCAGUGGGGACGAAACCUGACGGUACCCACAGAGGAAGCACCGGCUAACUCCGUGCCAGCAGCCGCGGUAAUACGGGGGUGCAAGCGUUGUCCGGAAUCAUUGGGCGUAAAGAGUUCGGAGGUGGCACGUUAAGCCUGAUGUGAAAGCCCGCGGCCCAACCGCGGGACUGCAUUGGGAACUACCGGGCUGGAGUGCCGGAGAGGUAGGCGGAAUUCCUAGUGUAGCGGUGAAAUGCGUAGAUAUUAGGAGGAACACCAGUGGCGAAGGCGGCCUACUGGACGGUGACUGACGCUGAGGCUCGAAAGCGUGGGGAGCAAACAGGAUUAGAUACCCUAGUAGUC
rnacentral:rRNA from 1 species